rnacentral:rRNA from 1 species
UUCGUAGGGUGCGAGCGUUAUCCGGAUUUAUUGGGCGUAAAGGGUUUCGUAGGCGGUUGAGUAAGUAUCUUGUUAAAUGAUCCGGCUUAACCGGAUAGAGGCAAGGUAUACUGCUUGACUAGUCUAUAUUCGGGGGUGCUGGAAUUGGCGGUGGAGGAGUGAAAUCCAUUGAGAUCGCCAAGAACACCAAGAGCGAAGGCAGGCACCUAGGAUAUUAGAGACGCUGAGGAACGAAAGCUAGGGGCGAGAAUCGGAUUAGAGACCCGAGUAUUCCUAGCUGUAAACAAUGAACGCUAGCUGGUCCGCCUUAGGCGGACUGGCGUAAGGUAACCCGUUAAGCGUUCCGCCUGGGGAGUACGACCGCAAGGUUGAAACUCAAAGGAAUUGGCGGGGACUUGCACAACCAGCGGAGCAUGUGGUUCAAUUCGAUACAAAGCGUAGAACCUUACCUGGACUUGACAUGUACUUGCAUCCCGAUGGAAACGUCGGGAGCCUUCGAGGGUAGUACACAGCUGCUGCAUGGUUAUCGUCAGCUCUAGUUGUGAGAUGUUCCCUUAAGUGGGGAAUAGAGCGCAACCCCUAUCCUCUGUUAACUAUCACAGGAGACUGCCCUGCGUCUAACGUGGGGAGGAAGGUGGGGACGACGUUAAAUCAGCAUGGCGCUUAUGUCCAGGGCAACACACAUCCUACAAUGGCUGGAAACAAUGGGUGGCCAAGUCGUAAGGCGGAGCUAAUCCCAUCAAAACCAGUCUCAGUUCGGAUUGGGGGCUGAAACCUGCCCCCAUGAAGUUGGAGUUGGUAGUAAUCGCGGGUCAGCAGACCGCGGUGAAUACGUUCUCAAGUCU